UCUGCAGGCCGGGUGAUCGCGGCGCCCUUCGGGGCGUCGAGGAAAGUCCGGACACCGCAGGGCAGGACGCUCCCGUGAGGGAGGCGGCGAAAGCCGACGGACAGUGGCACAGAAAGCAAACCGCCGCCGGCGUGUUCUCCGGAGACGCCGGCGGUAAGGGUGAAACGGUGGGGUAAGAGCCCACCAGCGUCGUGGCGACACGGCGGCUAGCCAAACCCCGUCCGGUGCAAGGCGAACAGGUUCCGUUGAGGCGGCCCGCCGAGGAACCGGGUAGCUGCACAGAUGGAUGGUCACCCUCGACAAAAUCCGGCUUACAGGCCUGCUACGGAA
rnacentral:RNase_P_RNA from 1 species